AUUGAACGCUGGCGGAAUGCUUUACACAUGCAAGUCGAACGGCAGCACGGGUGCUUGCACCUGGUGGCGAGUGGCGAACGGGUGAGUAAUACAUCGGAACGUACCCAGUCGUGGGGGAUAACGUAGCGAAAGUUACGCUAAUCCCGCAUACGUCCUGAGGGAGAAAGCGGGGGGCCGUAAGGCCUCGCGCGAUUGCAGCGGCCGAUGGCGGAUUAGCUGGUUGGUGGGGUAAAGGCCUACCAAGGCGACGAUCCGUAGCGGGUCUGAGAGGACGGCCCGCCACACUGGAACUGAGACACGGUCCAGACUCCUACGGGAGGCAGCAGUGGGGAAUUUUGGACAAUGGGCGAAAGCCUGAUCCAGCCAUUCCGCGUGAGUGAAGAAGGCCUUCGGGUUGUAAAGCUCUUUCGGCAGGGAAGAAACGGCUUGGGAUAAUACCCCGGGCUAAUGACGGUACCUGAAGAAGAAGCACCGGCUAACUACGUGCCAGCAGCCGCGGUAA
rnacentral:rRNA from 1 species